rnacentral:siRNA from 1 species
AUACUCGUCCGUAUUGUAAGGCAC